GACGGAGGGUGCAAGCGUUGUUCGGAAUUACUGGGCGUAAAGGGCGCGUAGGCGGUCUGUUAAGUUCGGUGUGAAAGCCCCCGGCUCACCUGGGGAACUGCGCCGGAAACCGACAGACUCGAGUACCGGAGAGGAGGGUGGAAUUCCUGGUGUAGCGGUGAAAUGCGUAGAUAUCGGGAAGAACACCCGUGGCGAAGGCGGCUCUCUGGGACGGUACUGACGCUGAGACGCGAAAGCGUGGGGAGCGAACAGG
rnacentral:rRNA from 1 species